rnacentral:misc_RNA from 1 species
AGAACCCGAUGGUCUGAAUGAGGGUUGCGAUGCCGCAGCACAAAAAGCUGGCGUUGAUGAUGUACACGAGCUGGUCCUCCGGAAGCCCGAUAGCGGUCCCCAGGAUUAUGGGGACGGCUAUGAUCCCCGCGUACAUCGCCAGCACGUGCUGCAGCCCGUAGACUGCCAUCCUCCCCGGCGGCAAUACCUCGUUUACCGGGUGCUCAUCGCCCACGUAGCGGUUCCCCGUCGGUCUCUGCUGGGUCAUGGUCCUCCUUCC